CUCACCCAUCCCAUACAGAGAUGCCCAGGCCUCAGCCAGGGCAGGAAGUGUUCCUGGGACCAGGGCCCUCCUCCUUGACCACCCCACCCCCAACAAGGACACCUUAUGGGGGCAGGGCAAUAUGUGACCACUCAGAUCCCACCCUUGCACAAGGGCCCACGUAGGAGGAAGGAGACCCAGCGUGUCCCCCAGGUGCUCCCAUUCCUCUCCUCCAUCCGCCCAGGGACACAAGCCAGACUGAUUCGUCCAUGUGCCCACUCUGGGCUGCGCCCUCUUCUGCUGCAACUGUAGGGAGCAGCCAACGCCAGCGAGAGACGAAAGCAGACGCUGUCGCUAGGAGCCAGAGUCACUCACACCACAGCUUCCAUCCUCCGUGAUCUGGUCUGCACAAGCACUCCAUCCUGCAGUUAGUCCAGCCCUGCAAACGGAGCCCGAGUCAGGACGGACCCAACCUGGCCUUUCAGGACCCGGCCUCUGCAGGCUGGUGCUGGAGUAGACUUCAAGGUGACCGCUCACCCCCCAGGAGGUGGAGCAAGAACCCUCCACCCUCAGCAUCCCCUCAGCCAGACCAGCACGUGGGCCCGGAGAGAAGGAAUCCGAGCACACGCCUCUCACCCCCUGCCACCCUUACCCUGCUUCCUCCAUGGUCCCUCGUGGGGAAGGAGUGGCUCUGCACUUCCUGUUUGCCAUUACCUGAGCCCUUGCCACCUGGGGAGUGAUAAACUUUGUGAUCUCAUCAGCCAAGCCUGGACUUCCAUAUGCUACCGGAGGAUCUCUGUCAACAAUCCCCCUAUUUCCGCAAAGCCUGGACUUCCAUACCAUCAUCUCCAUAACGAGGUCAAAAAAGUCAGCUUGGAGUCCCGAGGAUGACCACUUCCCACCCCUUCCCUGUGGCAAUGUCUGAUGGCUCAUCCUCUGAGACGGCAGCUGCAAGAAAACGUGAAUGAAAGGGUGAUUUUAAAAAGGAAUCCGUUCAAAUAGUUAAGAUGGGUCGCUCCUGUGGUGUUCCUGUUUUUCCUUUUUCAAGAUUCUCAGAGCUACUACUAUCUGCGUUCUCCUGAGGAGGGGAAGGGCGCUUCACUCUACCCAGCCUACUGGGAGAGGGCUUAAGAGUGGCCCUGUCCAUCUCAUGUGACCUUCUGGCCCCAGACCCCAAUAAAAUCCUCAAAUAUUCUCCUUGCCACGGAUACAUGGAGUUCAAGAGCCUUGACAUAUACACUAAUGUGCUCAGUGUCAUUCAGGAACCAGGUUGGCUGCAUAGAACAGAAAAACCAAAUAACAGUGGCUUAAACAAAAUAGGAGCUCAUUUGUCUCACAUAAUGAGGAGAUCAAACAUUAAAAAUUCAGGGCAGUCUAGCAUCCCCAUGACGUUCUCC
rnacentral:lncRNA from 1 species